rnacentral:rRNA from 1 species
UACGUAGGUGGCAAGCGUUGUCCGGAUUUACUGGGCGUAAAGAGCGCGCAGGCGGUCGUGCAAGUCGCGUGUGAAAGCCCCCGGCUCAACUGGGGAGGGUCACGCGAUACUGAUCGACUCGAAGGCAGGAGAGGGUAGUGGAAUUCCCGGUGUAGUGGUGAAAUGCGUAGAUAUCGGGAGGAACACCAGUGGGGAAGGCGACUGCCUGGCCUGUUCUUGACGCUGAGGCGCGAAAGCUAGGGGAGCAAACGGG